GACGAACGCUGGCGGCGUGCUUAACACAUGCAAGUCGAACGGAAAGGCCCUGCUUUCGUGGGGUGCUCGAGUGGCGAACGGGUGAGUAACACGGGAGUAUCCUGCCCUUGACUUUGGGAUAACUUCAGGAAACUGGGGCUACUACCGGAUAGGAGCUCCUGCAGCAUGGUGGGGGUUGGAAAUUUUCGGCGGUUGGGGAUGGACGCGCGGCUUAUCAGCUUGUUGGUGGGGGAGUGGCUUACCAAGGCUUUGACGGGUAGCCGGCCUGAGAGGGUGGCCAGCGUCCAUAGGCCUACGGUACGGAGCAGACGCGUACAGGAGACAGUGGGCGAGAGUAUUGCACAGUGAGCGGAAGCCUGAUACGGCGGCGCCGCGUUCGGAAUGACCGUCUUCUGGUUGUGAACCGCUUUAGCCUAAGACGAAGCGUGAGUGACGGUAAUGAGUAAAGAAGCACCGGCUAACUACGUG
rnacentral:rRNA from 1 species